rnacentral:rRNA from 1 species
CAGCAGCCGCGGUAAUACGUAGGUCCCGAGCGUUGUCCGGAUUUAUUGGGCGUAAAGCGAGCGCAGGCGGUUAGAUAAGUCUGAAGUUAAAGGCUGUGGCUUAACCAUAGUACGCUUUGGAAACUGUUUAACUUGAGUGCAAGAGGGGAGAGUGGAAUUCCAUGUGUAGCGGUGAAAUACGUAGAUAUAUGGAGGAACACCGGUGGCGAAAGCGGCUCUCUGGCUUGUAACUGACGCUGAGGCUCGAAAGCGUGGGGAGCAAACAGGAUUAGAUACCCGGGUAGUCCCUGUCUCUUAUACA